UCCUUUAUCUCUGUAGUGGAUGGUCUACUCUGUUAGCGGAUCAGUAUCUCUCUCUCCUUUAUCUCUGUAGUGAAUGGUCUACUCUGUUAGAGGAUCAGUAUCUCUCUCUCCUUUAUCUCUGUAGGGGAUGGUCUACUCUGCCACAGGAUCAGUCCAGGUGUGCAGUGUGUCAGCAGGUGCUGAGGGAUCCAGUCUCUAUCACCUGUGGACACAGGUUCUGCAGACAGUGCAUCACCAGAUACUGGGAGAAACCUGCUCCUUCAGGAGGCUAUGACUGUCCUCAGUGUAGAAAGAGAUCCAGAACACGUCCUGUACUACAGCCCCUGAGUGAACCCAAUGAUGCAAGAGGCUCUGAAAAAAUGGAUGACAGCCUGCAGAGAGCUGUAGUAAACCAUAAAGACAGUCUGCAGAGAGCUGUAGUAAACCAUAAAGACAGUCUGCAGAGAGCUGUAGUAAACCAUAAAGACAGUCUGCAGAGAGCUGUAGUAAACCAUAAAGACAGUCUGCAGAGAGCUGUAGUAAACCAUAAAGACAGUCUGCAGAGAGCUGUAGUAAACCAUAAAGACAGUCUGCAGAGAGCUGUAGUAAACCAUAAAGACAGUCUGCAGAGAGCUGUAGUAAACCAUAAAGACAGUCUGCAGAGAGCUGUAGUAAACCAUAAAGACAGUCUGCAGAGAGCUGUAGUAAACCAUAAAGACAGUCUGCAGAGAGCUGUAGUAAACCAUAAAGACAGUCUGCAGAGAGCUGUAGUAAACCAUAAAGACAGUCUGCAGAGAGCUGUAGUAAACCAUAAAGACAGUCUGCAGAGAGCUGUAGUAAAC